GUGGGCGUCAUGCAGUCACCCCUGACCCGAAAACCCUCGUGGUAGGGCUGAGCAGAGGCGACAGUCAGGGGAAAUCGGCCUUUUUCUGGCCCAAGGACUGCGGUGCCGCCUACAUGGCCACAGCCCCUGACCGGCGG
rnacentral:ribozyme from 1 species